UACGUAGGUGGCAAGCGUUGUUCGGAAUUAUUGGGCGUAAAGGGCGCGUAGGCGGCUUGUUAAGUCGGCUGUGAAAGCCCGGGGCUCAACCCCGGAGGGUCAGCCGAUACUGGCAGGCUAGAGUACGGAAGAGGUAGCUGGAAUUCCCGGUGUAGCGGUGAAAUGCGCAGAUAUCAGGAGGAACACCGGUGGCGAAGGCGGCUCUCUGGGCCUGUCCUGACGCUCAGGCGCGAAAGCUAGGGGAGCAAACAGG
rnacentral:rRNA from 1 species